UACGUAGGGUCCGAGCGUUGUCCGGAAUUAUUGGGCGUAAAGGGCUCGUAGGCGGUUCGUCACGUCGGGAGUGAAAACUCGGAGCUUAACUCCGAACCUGCUUCCGAUACGGGCAGACUAGAGGUAGGCAGGGGAGAGCGGAACUCCUGGUGUAGCGGUGGAAUGCGCAGAUAUCAGGAAGAACACCGGUGGCGAAGGCGGCUCUCUGGGCCUUACCUGACGCUGAGGAGCGAAAGCGUGGGUAGCGAACAGG
rnacentral:rRNA from 1 species